rnacentral:rRNA from 1 species
GACGAACGCUGGCGGCGUGCUUAACACAUGCAAGUCGAACGGAGGAUUUAUUUCGGUAAAUCCUUAGUGGCGAACGGGUGAGUAACGCGUGGGCAAUCUGCCCUUCAGAUGGGGACAACAUCCCGAAAGGGGUGCUAAUACCGAAUACGAUCACGCUGCCGCAUGGCGGUGUGAUGAAAGAUGGCCUCUAUUUAUAAGCUAUCGCUGAAGGAUGAGCCUGCGUCUGAUUAGCUAGUUGGUGGGGUAACGGCCUACCAAGGCGAUGAUCAGUAGCCGGUCUGAGAGGAUGAACGGCCACAUUGGGGACUGAGACACGGCCCAAAACUCCUACGGGAGGCAGCAGUGGGGAAUAUUCCGCAAUGGACGAAAGUCUGACGGAGCAACGCCGCGUGAGUGAUGAAGGUUUUCGGACUGUAAAGCUCUGUUGUUUAGGACGAAAGUGCCUGUUGCGAACAGUUACAGGUAUUGACGGUACUGGAACGAGGAAGCCGACGGCUAACUACG